rnacentral:lncRNA from 10 species
UCUCGGGUGAGAUCACCACGGAGCGGCUUAGCGCGGCGCACAAGUCUCGCGAGAGAAGCGGCGGCUGGGCCCUGCAGGCGGAGGAAGUGGAAAAAGUCGCGGGAGGGUAGGGGACCGCGGAACUUCUGGUUGCUAUGACGACGGCAAAGCCCUGGAUUCCUGUCUCCUGCGGAGAGCAGAGGCUGCAAACAAAUGAAAAGAGGCUUGCUCAUGACUUGGAAGCGGUGGGCUGAGGCCUCCCAAGACCAUCUGGCUUGUUCCAUUGCCAGCCAGAGUGGAGGCGACAUUCACACGAACCCAGGAGCUGCAGGGGCGCGUGAGCUACAGCUGCCUUGUGGCAUCCAAGGAGUGCGCAGUGAGAUUCCGCAGGAGAAAUCACGCUUUGCAUGUUCUUGAGUACAAGAAACAUGUGUAAUGAGGGUUUUUGUUUGCGGGCAUGCCAAGGAGAACGACUGGAAUAUUAAAGUCAUCACAGCCUUUAUUUAAGGGAGAAGAGGACAAGCAUGAAUAUGCUGAUAGUUCAGAGAUAUUUAGGACCUUCAGCAGCUCAGCACUCAUCCUAGAUUUAUACAAAUACCUUUCCAGAGAUGAAGUUUUUAAAAGCCUUUUAAAGGAAUUUUAUUUGUUCUUUUCACGUGGGGAAAAGUGAUGAGUAUAUCUAUGCAAGUAUGAGAAAUGGCCAAGGCCACUCCAUGUAAUUUUUUACUUAUCCUAUAGCUACACAAAGAAAAUAGCACCAAGUGUUGUAGAGGAAAAUCUACUAGACUUCAAGCCCGGCUUGAAUUCAAUUCUGUGCUCUAAUUCAGACUCUAUCUUUACUUAGCUGAGUCAUAUAAAUUAUUUAAUUUUCUAGACUUCUCACUUCUCUUUCUUUCUUUUUUUUUUAGACUAGUCUCACUCUGUUGCCCAGGCUGGAGUGCAGUGGCGCGAUCUCAGCUUACUUCAGCCUCCGCCUCCCGGUUUCAAGUGAAUUCUCCAGCCUCAACUUCACAAGUAGCUGGGAUUACAGGGCAUUCAAGCAGCCCUGAGGAGAGGUCCACAUGGUGAGCCACUGAGGGCCUUGCCAAGAGCCAGCACCAACGGUCCAGGUUUGGAGUGUACCACCUUGGAAGUGAAUCUUCCAGUCCAGUCAAGCCUUCAGAUGACUUCAGAACCGUCCAUGUAAGCCACUCUUGGAUUCCUGACCCACAGAAACUGUUGGAGGCAUUAUCAACAGUUUCUAACAUCACAGACAGACAAACAUGUGCCUCCUGAUUGAAAAAACAGAACAUCACCUGUAGUCUUGCCAGUGAGAUCAAACUGAAGUCCAAUUAACCUCUGGAUCCAGCUGCCAAUUUGCAGGAAAUAGAGGAGAGAAGCAUCUGUUGAACUGCACCAUGAGUAUACACUCAGCAAAGGCCAAACUGUGGAAAAUGAUACAGGUCAAACAGCCUGGAUUCUUUAACAGACGGAGUCUCACUCUGUCACCCAGCCUGAAGUGCAAUGGUACAAUCUCAGCUCACUGCAACCUCCGCCUCCCGGGCUCAAGCAAUUCUCCUGCCUCAGCCUCCUGAAUAGCUGGGAUUACAGGCACGCGCCACCACGCCCAGCUAAUUUUUGUAUUUUUAGUAGAGACGGGGUUUCACCAUGUUGCCCAGGCUGGUCUUGAACUCCUGACCUCAGGUGAUCCACCCACCUCAGCCUCCCAAAGUGCUGGGAUUACAGGCAUGAGCCACCGUGCCUGGCCUUUUGUAUCUGUUUUAUUUUUUAAAUAAUAAGAUUAAAAAUAAAUAUUCUGCAUGAUUAAACAAAUACAGAUUUAAAUUUUUACAGUCCAAUUGAGUGAUUUCCUCAUGUUCCAAAACCAGGAAGUAGGUGUGGGACAUCUAUCUCCGUAUUGCAUACACAGUCUGGAUUCUAGUUGUAGACUCCAUAUGGGCUGUCAUACACGCUACUACAGAAAUGAGAGAAAUCCUUGGGAAAUGGAACCAUCUCACACAUGAGAGACAUCUCUGACAACUUAUUCAUAACUGAAUACUUCUCAUUUAUCUUUACCAGUAAGUGAUGUUUCUGAAGCACCAAUGAAAAUGAAGUCCUGAAGUCCUGUGCUCAAUAUGAAAUGUUGGAAGUUAGAAGAAAAAAACAAAACUUGGAUCCAAUCUCAAGGCACUUUUUGUUUAAUGGGAAGAAGUGGAUUAUUUUAAAAGCUACAAAUAAAGUUACAUAAAAGUAGCAAA